GUAGACGGUUGCCCCACGUGAAGCGAGACCCUCAGCAGUUGCGAAACCUAUGCCAGAAUUUGCACCUGUGACAAUGCAAUUCUUUCCUUCCAUUUGAACUUGCAUAUCUUCUGGCUUGAAAUUCUUUGCAUGUUCCGAAAAAGCAGAUUUAGUGAAAUUCAUAUUUCCAUAAAGCCCAAAUACCGAAGCUCUCAAUGUCUUGACAAUAAACAUGAUGAGAAUUGAA
rnacentral:misc_RNA from 1 species